rnacentral:lncRNA from 1 species
GGUCUGUGUUUCAUGCUGGAGCCUUCCACCUACAGUGAAAAGAGUGUUCUCAUUAGGCCCCUGACCUGAAGAUGGGUCUCAGCAAAAGAUGCCUAACUCCUUCUGCAAUCCUCAAAUUACACGCAGAAAUUCAGGCCCAGACCCAGUGUUGUUAUUAUCUACUCUGCUCAGAAAAAAAAUGCACAGAGUUCACCUGUGUCCUCAGCUCUAGCAUCAUGACCCCCACCUGUCAGCAUGGCUACUGGAGCCUCAAUCUUAGGCCAGAUCCUACGGUCUCUCCUUCCCUACAUGCAACAUGUUGCCAUGAGACACUGUCAUGCUGCUUGCCUACAGUCUCCCUACUCUGGCUACAGAAUGGACCACACUUCAGACAAAUGGACUACAGCAGGCUCAGCCACAGUUUGGCAAAGCACCAACAACCCAGGAGAGCUGGGCAAAUGGCCAAACAAUUUCAGACUAUAAUGCUUAAUCUUCUCAUAGCAAUUUAG